rnacentral:piRNA from 1 species
AUGCUCACCAGUAGGUCUCGGUAUUGGCUCC